GAGCUAUUACAAACGGUGAAUAUUACAAAUUAGGAAAGGAGACGUUUAAACGAUAGAGUUUACGAAGUAUGUUAUAGAACGCGGAAGUUCUCUUCCCAUCUAGUAAAGACACUUGCUUGGAGUUCAUAAUCCAGAAAACAAAUGGGAACAUGUCAGCAGGUACAUCUGACUGCGUUCAAGAUCCCCAGCACGGCCAAGCCCUCCAUCUAAUGAUAAACACUUCAUUGACAGGAAUGAGACAUAGACGCCAUCCUUGAUGAACUUUAUGAAAAGGAAAUCAUCAGACUGGAAAAAUACAAUGCCAUCCAUGCUGAGAAAAUACAGCAAAGGAAGAUGAGAGCGUUAUUUGAUGGCACUGGAGGGAAAGAUGCCUUAUACAAAGUUCUUAUGAAGUUACAGUUCUACUUAGUGAAAGACCUUGGGGCUAAGUCAAACUCUUGUCAGCCUGAAUGUUUUUUUUAAUGGUUUUAUUUACUUUUGUCUCCUGUAAUAUAUGGGAAAUAUUAUGCAAACCAUACCUUCCAAUUAUUGUAACAAAAGCUGUCCAAAAUACACUGCAAUAGCAAAUAAAAAGUGAUGCCCUCUUUUGAAAACUAGGCUUUUUAAACACACACACUGCGAAAUCUAACUUCACUGGACCAAAGUCUCUUCCUCCCUUCUAUGUCAUUUAUGCAUUUGGCAGAUUACAUUUACAUUUAUGCAUUUGGCAGACGCUUUUAUCCAAAGCAACUUACAGUGCACUUUAUUACAGGGACAAUCCCCCCGGAGCAACUUGGAGUUAAGUGCCUUGCUCAAGGGCACAACAGUGGCAUCUUGGUGGUGCUGGGGCUUGAACCCCCGACCUUCUGGUCAGUAACCCUGAGCCUCAACCACUGAGCCACCACUGCCCAAAUGGGGUUUAUGGGGUUUUCCAAGCACAACCCAUUUUAUAGAUUAUCCACAAAAUCAGGUAUAUCAAAAAGCUUGCUUGGCUGACCAACAGGGUUGGGCUAUAACAGAAUAGGCUACAUGUAAUGGCGAUACGUAUUCAAAAUACAAAAAUUAAGUAACUGUAUUCAGCCCCAUUAUGUUUUCAAGCACCUGUAUUCAGAAUACAGUAACAUUACGGUUUAAAUUGUGUUAGAAAACGUUUAGAAUACUUCUCUCAUAAUUACCUCAAAAUAAGGCAAAGGCAAAAUAAGGUGAAAAACUUGAUUGUUUUUCUGAACAGAAAAAAUAUUUUUUAUUACAAUUAUUAACCUAGAUUUAUUGUGUUUUUGCUAUUGUUGGGUUAUUUUGGCAUGUUUGCAUUGUAUCUGAACAUGUGAGCCAAUGUUGCCUCACACAAUGUCUCAGAGAUCAAAAUGUUAGAAUUUUGAUUCACCCCACAUCAAGUGCUGCUUUCACAACUGUCAUGUCUGUAACAAUGGGUUUUCCUCAUUUAUGUGAAAACAACAGUUUAUGAGAAAUAAUUACUGCAUGUUCUUAGGAUUGUCAACCCUUCUGUUUUAUGUGGCUGGUAUUAUUUCUGGAUUGUGCAUUUCAAUUCACAAAGUUUUUACUCAUGUCCACUUUAGUCACGUCUGUAUCCAAGUUCAUCUAAGUAUCUAAAGUGGAAGAAAACUUGUGCUAGUAACUGAACAUUUUCAGAUGUCUGGACUGUAUCUGCGGGUAUCUAUGAUAGUUCAUUGAAAUGGUUCGGUUAUAUACUGGUCAUGGGUACUUCAGUUCAUAUAUGUUCAAUUUUAUGUUUUCACUGCAAAUGCUGGAAUUGCCAUUGUAGCUCUGUGAUUGGCCAAAAUGCUCCAUUAGACUUCUCUGAAACCCUCUACUUUUCUCUGUGGAACCCGGAUGCUUGACGGCUGGCCUACUUUCAGUAAGAUCUGAAUUUCUGCAUUUUGAAUUUUAGAAUAUUGAAUUCUUUAUUGAAUUUUAAAACAUGUAAUUCUUCGUCAGUUGUAAUUUUAUAAUCUGAAUAUUUACAGCUAAUUUCACCUCUAAAAAAAUCAGAACACAUCUGCUGUUUAAAAACACAAAUCUAUAAAAUAUCCCACAAAAAAACUACAAAAUGUUGUUAAAUGCCACAUGCCUAAAAUUCAAAUGUACAAAUUCUAAUUUAAAUAUUUUGUAAUUUAUCUAGAGAUAGUUGCAAAGAGAUUAGAAAUAGAAAAUUGGUUCACAAAUAAAUUGAAUGAGAUCCACAAAUAAAAGGAGUU